UACGUAGGGCGCAAGCGUUGUCCGGAAUUAUUGGGCGUAAAGGGCUCGUAGGCGGCCAACUAAGUCAAACGUGAAAUCCCUCGGCUUAACCGGGGAACUGCGUCUGAUACUGGAUGGCUUGAGUUUGGGAGAGGGAUGCGGAAUUCCAGGUGUAGCGGUGAAAUGCGUAGAUAUCUGGAGGAACACCGGUGGCGAAGGCGGCAUCCUGGACCAACACUGACGCUGAGGAGCGAAAGCCAGGGGAGCAAACGGG
rnacentral:rRNA from 1 species